AAGUGCUGUCUUUGUUUUCAGGUACCGAAUCCCAUCAGAACACCGCAAUUAAGCGUGCUUGGGCGAGAGUAGUACUAGGAUGGGUGACCUCCCGGGAAGUCCUCGUGUUGCACCCC
rnacentral:rRNA from 1 species